UGGGGAAUAUUGGACAAUGGGGGCAACCCUGAUCCAGCCAUGCCGCGUGUGUGAAGAAGGCCUUUUGGUUGUAAAGCACUUUAAAGCAGGGAGGAGAGGCUAAUGGUUAAUACCCAUUAGAUUAGACGUUACCUGCAGAAUAAGCACCGGCUAACUCUGUGCCAGCAGCCGCGGUAAAUACAGAGGGUGCGAGCGUUAAAUCGGAAUUACUGGGCGUAAAAGCGAGUGUAGGUGGCUCAUUAAGUCACAUGUGAAAUCCCCGGGCUUAAACCUGGGAACUGCAUGUGAUACUGGUGGUGCUAGAAUAUGUGAGAGGGAAGUAGAAUUCCAGGUGUAGCGGUGAAAUGCGUAGAGAUCUGGAGGAAUACCGAUGGCGAAGGCAGCUUCCUGGCAUAAUAUUGACACUGAGAUUCGAAAGCGUGGGUAGCAAAACAGGAUUAGAUACCCUGGUAGUCCACGCCGUAAAACGAUGUCUACUAGCCGUUGGGGUCCUUGAGACUUUAGUGGCGCAGUUAAACGCGAUAAGUAGACCGCCUGGGGGAGUACGGCC
rnacentral:rRNA from 1 species